UUUCUAUACUUUCUUAUCUAGGUCAAGUCCUUAGAUAUUUUUGAAUUUUUUUUUAUUCUUCAGAUAUUUUUGGAAAAGUUCUAGUGUGUUCAUUUGCUAAAUUUGAAAAGACAACUGGAAAUGAACUGUGAAAUAGACAGAAAAAAUCACACUGGCUUUUUUUUUUUGGUAUAUAAAAGAUGCAAACUAGUAAUAACAAGUAGUAAUAAUCAAUAAACCAAAAUGUUGUCUUUUUCUGCAUUUGCACCUGCACCUCCUUACAUCUCUCUUACUAAUUAGAUUUUUAUUAUCAUUGAUUUGAAUGUAUUUGUAUUUUUAAACUCAUGUUGUAGGGUGAAAAUCGAAAGAUAUAAAAGAUUAUCUCUCUUCUCAACUUUCAUCGAAUACGGCUUUCUGUAGAAUUUUUUAUGCAUCUACGAGAUUGAGAAUGAAGUUUUUUUACUUACUUUAAGUUGAGUAUCUGCUUUCCUUCGUAUCUUGUUAGAGUUAGAAAUAGUGUAUUUUACAUAUCCAUAGGGCUAGGUGCUUGGAUUUUCUAUGUAGUGUAUGAUUUUCUGCAGAAUUUUAUAUAUAUCUAUGAGAUCGAGUAUAUAUGAAAUUAUGUUUACUUACUUUAAAUGUGGAGUAUUGGUUAAAUCGUGAAUUUUACAUAUUAAUUUAUGAUUAGGUGCUUAGAUUUCCCAAGCAAUGUACGACUUUUUACAGAUCGAGUAUGAAGUUUUUUUACUUACUUCAAGUUGAGUAUCCGCUUUCCUUCAUAUCUUGUUAGAGUUAGAAAUAGUGUAUUUUACAUAUCCAUAUGACUAGGUGCUUAGAUUUUCUAAGUAGUGUACAAUUUUCUGCAGAAUUUUAUAUGCAUCUAUGAGAUCGAGUAUAUAUGAAAUUGUGUUUACUUACUUUAAAUUUGAGUAUCCGUUUUCUUUCAUAUCUUGUUAGAAUCAAAAAUCGUGUAUUUUACAUAUUAAUUUAUGAUUAGGUGCUUAGAAUUCCCAAGCAGUGUAUGACUUUUUGCAAAAUUUUAUAUGCAUCUAUGAGAUCGAGUAUGACAAUUCUUGGAAUUUUGUUUACUUACUAUUAAUUUGAGUGUCUAUUUUCCUCCGUAUCGUGAGAGAAUUGGAAAUCGUGUGUUUUACAUAUCCAUAUGAUUAAGUGCUUAGAUUUCCAAAAUAGUUUUAAACAAAAAUACUUCAAAUCAUUGCUAUUUAAUUCAGAUCGGUUAAAUAUUUUUGCAUAUAACUAUGAAUUUCUAUGUCUAUCAAAUCUUCAAAUAAUAUUAUCGCAUUCGUACCAAAUGUGAAAAAUACAUUACUUUUAAUCAAUUAUCCUAUGUAACAAAAGAUGGGAAAUUAUAGGAGGAGGUGCAAGUCCAAGUGCAGGUGAAUGGCAUUUUGAAAAGGGAAAUUUUUUUUCAUGAUGUUACGUUGUUAAUUUUAUAUAGGCGAUUUGUCGAUAGAAUCAAAAUGAACUAUCCUUACGAAAGAGGUAAGAAAAAAAAUUGCGAUAUCGAGAAUAAAACUUAUAUGUAUUAUAUAAGUAUAUUAUAUAUUGAAUUUUUUUCGUUUCAGGAGGCAGCCAAAAUUAAAGAUUUGAUUUUCAUGAUAUUUUAUUAUUGGAGAUUAUAAAGCAAAGAACUACGUUGGCAGCUGGAAAGAUAGGAGCACCAAUGAGACAACUUCAAGGGGCCGCAGAUGACUUAAGCCAAACUAAAACAAGUCAAACUUAGCAAAUAUUUUACCUUUCAUCAUAUUGGGACCACGGACCCAUAUUUCACCUAAUUGCCCAGGAGGAAGAGGCUU